rnacentral:rRNA from 1 species
CCUACGGGAGGCAGCAGUGAGGAAUAUUGGUCAAUGGACGAGAGUCUGAACCAGCCAAGUAGCGUGAAGGAUGACUGCCCUAUGGGUUGUAAACUUCUUUUAUAAAGGAAUAAAACGAGGCACGUGUGCCUUUUUGCAUGUACUUUAUGAAUAAGGAUCGGCUAACUCCGUGCAAGCAGCCGCGGUAAUACGGAGGAUCCGAGCGUUAUCCGGAUUUUGUGGGUUUAAAGGGAGCGUAGAUGGGUUGUUAAGUCAGUUGUGAAAGUUUGCGGCUCAACCGUAAAAUUGCAAUUGAUACUGGCAGUCUUGAGUACAGUUGAGGUAAGCGGAAUUCGUGGUGUAGCGGUGAAAUGCUUAGAUAUCACGAAGAACCCCGAUUGCGAAGGCAGCUUACUAAACUGUGACUGACAUUGAUGCUCGAAAGUGUGGGUAUCAAACAGGAUUAGAUACCCCUGGUAGUC